AACGAACGCUGGCGGCAUGCCUAAUACAUGCAAGUCGAACGAGAUCUUCGGAUCUAGUGGCGCACGGGUGCGUAACGCGUGGGAAUCUGCCCUUGGGUUCGGAAUAACUUCGGGAAAUUGAAGCUAAUACCGGAUGAUGACGUAAGUCCAAAGAUUUAUCGCCCAGGGAUGAGCCCGCGUAGGAUUAGCUAGUUGGUGAGGUAAAGGCCCACCAAGGCUACGAUCCUUAGCUGGUCUGAGAGGAUGAUCAGCCACACUGGGACUGAGACACGGCCCAGACUCCGACGGGAGGCAGCAGUAGGGAAUAUUGGACAAUGGGCGAAAGCCUGAUCCAGCAAUGCCGCGUGAGCGAUGAAGGCCUUAGGGUUGUAAAGCUCUUUUACCCGAGAUGAUAAUGACAGUAUCGGGAGAAUAAGCCCCGGCUAACUCCGUGCCAGCAGCCGCCGUAA
rnacentral:rRNA from 1 species